rnacentral:sRNA from 1 species
CUACCAUCCAAACACUACUCUCAGGCUUUUUCCAAGGUUCCUCGUCUGCCAAAUCUAUUCAUCAUGUCUCCCUGCAACUGCAACUGCUGCUCCGGCGACUGCAAGUCCUGCUCUUGCUCCACCUGCGCUGUAUGUCAUUGCUUGAU